UACGUAGGGUGCAAGCGUUGUCCGGAAUUAUUGGGCGUAAAGAGCUCGUAGGCGGUUUGUUGCGUCGGCUGUGAAAUCCCGGGGCUCAACCUCGGGUCUGCAGUCGAUACGAGCAAACUAGAGUGUUGCAGGGGAGACUGGAAUUCCUGGUGUAGCGGUGAAAUGCGCAGAUAUCAGGAGGAACACCGGUGGCGAAGGCGGGUCUCUGGGCAACAACUGACGCUGAGGAGCGAAAGCGUGGGGAGCGAACGGG
rnacentral:rRNA from 1 species